UAAUACAUGCAAGUCGAACGCGUCUCCGUUAAUGAUUUUAGGUGCUUGCACUUGAAAGAUUUAACAUUGAGACGAGUGGCGAACUGGUGAGUAACACGUGGGUAACCUGCCCUUGAAGUAGGGGAUAACACUUGGAAACAGGUGCUAAUACCGUAUAACAACCAAAACCACCUGGUUUUGGUUUAAAAGACGGCUUCGGCUGUCACUUUAGGAUGGACCCGCGGCGUAUUAGCUUGUUGGUAAGGUAACGGCUUACCAAGGCGAUGAUACGUAGCCGACCUGAGAGGGUAAUCGGCCACAUUGGGACUGAGACACGGCCCAAACUCCUACGGGAGGCAGCAGUAGGGAAUCUUCCACAAUGGACGAAAGUCUGAUGGAGCAACGCCGCGUGAGUGAUGAAGGGUUUCGGCUCGUAAAACUCUGUUGUUGGAGAAGAACAGGUGUCAGAGUAACUGUUGACAUCUUGACGGUAUCCAACCAGAAAGCCACGGCUAACUACGUGCCAGCAGCCGCGGUAAUACGUAGGUGGCAAGCGUUGUCCGGAUUUAUUGGGCGUAAAGCGAGCGCAGGCGGUUUUUUAGGUCUGAUGUGAAAGCCUUCGGCUUAACCGGAGAAGUGCAUCGGAAACCGGGAGACUUGAGUGCAGAAGAGGACAGUGGAACUCCAUGUGUAGCGGUGAAAUGCGUAGAUAUAUGGAAGAACACCAGUGGCGAAGGCGGCUGUCUGGUCUGUAACUGACGCUGAGGCUCGAAAG
rnacentral:rRNA from 1 species